rnacentral:rRNA from 1 species
AUCCAGACUCCUACGGGAGGCAGCAGUGGGGAAUAUUGCACAAUGGGGGAAACCCUGAUGCAGCGACGCCGCGUGAGCGAUGAAGUAUUUCGGUAUGUAAAGCUCUAUCAGCAGGGAAGAAGAUGACGGUACCUGACUAAGAAGCCCCGGCUAACUACGUGCCAGCAGCCGCGGUAAUACGUAGGGGGCAAGCGUUAUCCGGAUUUACUGGGUGUAAAGGGAGCGUAGACGGCGAUGCAAGCCAGAUGUGAAAGCCCGGGGCUCAACCCCGGGACUGCAUUUGGAACUGUGUGGCUGGAGUGUCGGAGAGGCAGGCGGAAUUCCUAGUGUAGCGGUGAAAUGCGUAGAUAUUAGGAGGAACACCAGUGGCGAAGGCGGCCUGCUGGACGAUGACUGACGUUGAGGCUCGAAAGCGUGGGGAGCAAACAGGAUUAGAUACCCCCGUACUG